GUUCUCAGUGGUAGCACUGCCGUGGCUCGGUGAGGGGGAGCACGUGAUGGACGUUGUGGUGGAAAACAGCGCCAGCCGGGCCAACCUCAGCCUGCGGGUGACGGCGGAGGAGCCCAUCUGUGGCCUCCGCGCCACGCCCAGCCCCGAGGCCCGUGUACUGCAGGGAGUCCCAGUGAGGUACAGCCCCGUGGUGGAGGCCGGCUCGGACAUGGUCUUCCGGUGGACCAUCAACGACAAGCAGUCCCUGACCUUCCAGAACGUGGUCUUCAAUGUCAUUUAUCAGAGCGCGGCGGUCUUCAAGCUCUCACUGACGGCCUCCAACCACGUGAGCAACGUCACCGUGAACUACAACAUCACCGUGGAGCGGAUGAACAGGAUGCAGGGCCUGCGGGUCUCCACAGUGCCGGCCGUGCUGUCCCCCAAUGCCACGCUGGCACUGACGGCGGGCGUGCUGGUGGACUCGGCUGUGGAGGUGGCCUUCCUGUGGACCUUUGGGGAUGGGGAGCAGGCCCUCCACCAGUUCCAGCCUCCGUACAACGAGUCCUUCCCAGUUCCAGACCCCUCGGUGGCCCAGGUGCUGGUGGAGCACAAUGUCACGCACACCUACGCUGCCCCAGGUGCUGAUCCGGAGUGGCCGGGUGCCCAUUGUGUCCUUGGAGUGUGUGUCCUGCAAGGCACAGGCCGUGUACGAAGUGAGCCGCAGCUCCUACGUGUACCUGGAGGGCCGCUGCCUCAAUUGCAGCAGCGGCUCCAAGCGAGGG
rnacentral:lncRNA from 1 species